CGCAUGCGGGGGCGUGGCAUUACGGCUAUUCGCCCUCCCAUUGGUCGCUUUUGGGAGGGGAGUGCGAGGACGGCUGCUCCGGAUUGGUUCCAAAGCCCCCUGACAGAGCCAAGCGGCUCUUGUAACAAGUUGCAGAUGAGGCAACACGGAAUACUGGUGGAAGAGGCUAAAUGGCGAAAAAGGAUGGAGUGCGGAGCCAACAGGAAAUGAGGGGAGGAGGAAGAGGAGGAGGCGAGAGAAGCGGGAGUGGAUUGUGUAAGACAGCACUAAGCCAGAGUACUGAUAAGGUGCAGCUGUUUAAGAGCAAGAAACCAUGAGGGAUGACUAAAGCUCACGUGUUUCUGUUGAUCUCA